CGGAAAAAAAUCCGGCCGCCUCAUCUGUCUACCUCAAGCAUGCGCUGCUGAAUCUUUGUGCCUUGAGAGCCGCGCCCGCCCUCAUCGCGUUCACCAGACAACGACUUAGUGACCUCGGUCUGGACGGCGAAUUUUGCGGAAAUUCUGCGCUAAGGAGCGAGGAUGGAAAACUUUGGUUCCACUUCCACAGAGUAGAGACUUGAAUCAUCCCGCCGACGGCCACGACUGUGGGAAGCGUGUCAGGUAUGGUGCUGGCAGGUUUUCUGAACGAAUCCGCGGACGGCUGAUUUGCCUGACUCACGGGAUAAAGGCGCCACAUCAACAAAGUUAAGCUCUUGCCGAUGAGUCUUCUUCCGACAGACUCACUAGCUUUUCGUUCCGCGUUGUAGAAGAAUUUCCUGCGCACGCAGCGCUCGAACGACUGUUGAAUUUGGUUCCUCGGGGACCCAGCGUACAUACACCUGCUUAGCGGCGCACGCUGCAUUUCCUCUCAGAGGAUCUUCACUUUUGGCGUUUUUGUGCGGACUCCGAAAGAAUGUUGAAAAGGGAAAAUAUUUACGGGAAACAGUUUUCACUCGGUUCCACGGAUUCUGGUCGAGGUUCACACUCUCUCGGGGACCGUGCCGCAAGCGAAGUUGGCGACAGUGGAAGAAGUUUCGAAGAGUCACGAAUUGCCGACACUCGUCAGACUGGGACCUUCCGGAGUCCUUCUAUCUAUGGAGAACUAAAAGCAACAGUCUGUGGGAACCAGC
rnacentral:lncRNA from 1 species